GUUAGUUUUCUUUGUUUUUACUUUGUCCUUUGUUAUGUGUUAUGACUCAAUGUGGAUUUGUUUAUACAAAGUUUUAUUUGUACAAUUUCAUGUUAAACCUCAAAUAAAUGCUUCCCUGUAUGAUGAGAGAAACAGAGACAGAAAGACAGAGA